rnacentral:rRNA from 1 species
CCUACGGGCGGCAGCAGUGGGGAAUAUUGCGCAAUGGGCGAAAGCCUGACGCAGCGACGCCGCGUGAGGGAUGAAGGUCUUCGGAUCGUAAACCCCUGUCAGCAGGGAAGAACGGUCACUGUGCUAAUCAGCAGUGAAUUGACGGUACCUGCACAGGAAGCACCGGCUAACUCCGUGCCAGCAGCCGCGGUAAUACGGAGGGUGCGAGCGUUAAUCGGAAUUACUGGGCGUAAGGCGCUCGUAGGCGGUAUGUCAAGUCAAGGGUGAAAUCCCCGCGCUCAACGUGGGAACUGCCUUUGAAACUGGCAGACUGGAGUGUGGGAGAGGUAAGUGGAAUUCCAGGUGUAGGGGUAAAAUCCGUAGAUAUCUGGAGGAACAUCAGUGGCGAAGGCGACUAUCUGGCACAUAACUGACGCUGAGGAGCGAAAGCGUGGGUAGCAAACAGGAUUAGAUACCCCAGUAGUC